CUGUCUCUUGCUUCAGCAGUGUUUUGGACGGAACAG
rfam:Fukomys damarensis contig91471, whole genome shotgun sequence.